rnacentral:miRNA from 1 species
GGUUGGUGCAAAAGUAACUGCGGUUUUUGCCACUGAAAGUAAUGCAAAAUUGCAAUUACUUUUGCAUCAA